GCCCCUGGGGCGGGGCUGCGGGCUCGGCCUCGCGGCUCCAGGCACCCCGCACUGCCGGUGGAACCACGGGGAAAGCAGCCCGGCCCAUCCCCCACGCUGGCGGCUUGUUUUCCUUCCACAGGCGGAAGGAAGGGAGGGAGAGAGCACUCGCACCCGGGACUGACCUUUGCUCUGUAAACUGUUAAAGCCUGAGCUUGGUAGGCUGGGGCCAGAUGUUAGAGACCCACAGGAUUAAAGAAUGUAAGCUUCAGGAAAAGAAACCUUGUUGUCUAGUGGAUAGUCAGCUCCUAGACCAGGACUGAAGCAUAAGAGACCAAGAAUAAUUGGCUUUUCCGCUUCUUGCUUCCUCUGCCUCCAGUGACAUUCUACUAGAUAUUUUGAUGGCUACCUUGUCAUCAGCUUCGAGGAUUUACAUAAAAUUCGCCUUUUUGCUGACUUGAGAGCUGAAUUUACCCAUGAAAGUGACCAGCAGUAGGACCAGCAGAAGAAUCAGAAGUUGAGCCCAGCUCAGAAUGCAAACUUGUAAGCAAAUAAAAUAAUUGUUUCAAGCCAGUAAAUUUUGGGGUGUUUAUUUUUAAAGCAAUGAAUAACCAGAAAGUGCCUACUGAAUAUCCAGGACUGCAUAGUUUGACAAGGAGGUACACAGAAUAGAUGAUGGAGUGAUGCAUGUUUGACUUCUAUUUUUCUUAUUUUAUUUUUAAAAUUUAUUUUAUUUUAUUUUAUUUUAUUUUUAUUUUAUUUUUUAAUUUUAUUUUACUGUGGUAAGAACACUUAACCUGGGAUCUAGUCUCUCAACAAAUUAUUAAGUGUACAAUACAGUAUUGUUGGCCAUAGGUACAAUGCCAUACAACAGAUCCCUAGAACUUAUUAAUCUUGAUUAAUUGAAACUCCAUGCCUAUUGAUUACUAAUUCCCCAUUUCACCCUCCCCCUAGUCCUUGGUAACCACCAUUCCAUUCUGAUUCUAUGAAUUUGCCUUUUUCAGAUACCUCAUAUUAUUGAUUUCCAGUUUUUGAGCUGGAAUAUGGCAUACAUCUUUUCACGGAAAUUUUUUAAAAAUUAUAUUUUAGUCAGUAAUAUAUUUAAGCUACAUUUUUGAUUACCUAAAAUAUAGCAUGGGAUAUUAAUUAUACUUAGCAAUUUUGUGGGCAAGUAAUUUUCAACUUAUAGUGUCAACUAUACUUCAAUAGUUUUUUUUUUUAAUUUUCAACUUCUAAUAAAUAACUUAUAAAUGAAUAUUUGGAACACAUUAAUUUACUGGGUGUUACCUGUAUCAUCACAUGCAGUCCUUCAGGGUAUAAUUUCCAAUUAUUGAAGUAAUUCAGGCAAGGGAGAAAUUUGGACCUGCCUGAGUGAUUCAAGAAAGAUGCAAACCACUUUGGUAUCAGGAACUGAUAGGAAGGAAAGACUUGGAAUGAGCCAGGCAUAGAAGGACAAGACAGACAUUCUAAAUGAGGUGUGACAUGCUCAGAGGCACAGCAGCAGGGGAGAAGCUGCCAUGUUAGAAAGGUACAGAAGGAUUUGGUCUAUAAUCACAAUGAAUGGGUGAAGAGGAUUUUUUAAAAAUUAUCCCACGGUAACUCAGCAAGGAAAUUACUUGAUUGGGCUGUGAUUUAGACUUACGAAUUUGGCACCAGUUCCCAGGACAGAGCCGAAUAGGGAAAGAUUUGACAAAAUCAUGAAAAACCUUACUGGAAUCCAGGAUUUUCAGCAACUUUCUCUUGUAUUCAAAAGAGGUGGUUCUGUACUGUUUUGUUGUUCAUUUGUUUUUAAACAGAAAUAUAAAAUACUUGCAACAAAUGACACUAAGUACUUUCAUUUUGCAGUUUUGUCAAAUACUUUCAUGUAAUGUCAUCAUAACAGUAAUUAGAAUAUCCUGUCAUCCUUUCUUCUUCUUCUUCUUCUUCUUCUUCUUCUUCUUCUUCUUCUUCUUCUUCUUCUUCUUCUUUUUGAGAGAGAUAGAUAGGAGAAAGAGAGAGAGAGAAUCUCAAGCAGACUCCAUGCCUAGCACGGAGCCUGAAGUGGGGCUCGAUCUAAUGACAGUGAGAUCAUUACCUGAGCCAAAAUGAACACUUAAUCAUCUGAGCCAUCCAAGCAUCCUGACUGUCUUAUCUCUUGACCAAAAAGUAAGGUCUUGAUCAGAUCAUGUAAUUUUGAUUAUCAUCCUGGGCUGUGCUAUGAUACCUUAAAUAAAGAGAUAUGUAGUUUUUGCAAGCAUAACCUUUGAUAUCUUGGAACAUUUUUGUUUAUAUUAACUUUCCUUAACAAAUUUUAUUGUUCAUGGAUAUGUAUAUAUGUACUUUUCUCUUUUCAGUGUCUUACUCUGGACAAGAUUUUUCAUAUUUUUGCUGGACAUUAAACAACAGAGCAUUUUCCUACAUAUUUAAAUGUCACUACAGUAAAUGUGAAUUUGUCUCUUUGUGAUGAGAAAAUAUGUUCAAGGAAAAAAAUAAUGAGCUAGGCACUAAAGGAAUAAUGGAGUCAGGAUGAAAAAUGACAUGAAAAAUAUCCCCCCGUAAUUCUCAGUUUACUCCAAAAUACUUCAGGGCAUCCUAUACCAUUGUACUCUAUAUUUUAUACAUAUUGUUACUUGCAAUUGCAUACAGAGUAUCACAGGAACUGAGAGACAAAUAUCUUGUUGGAAUUUAUUACCUUUAUAAACUUUAUUACCAAAGAAUUUGUUUAUACACAAAUACUUUUCUAUGGGUAGGUCUCAUGCUUAAUAUCCAGAAUGACCAGAGUUAAUGCUAGAAAAGCAGGUCCAUUAGAUCUGUCCGAUUUGUAUUCCUAGGAGGAUAAGCUGGAUUACUAUUUCUCUAACAAACAACCUGUAUAUUCUGUUCUAUUCUAUCCUAUUCUAUUCUAUUGUAUCAUAUUAUAUUAUACACAACUUCAUAGAAGUUGGUGGAAGUCUUUCCAAACUGGGCAAAGCUUUUUAGAAGGCUUUGUAUUUAGCAAAAUUUCCUGGAUUGGCCUCAAAGCUAAUUUAGGCUUUUUAGUGACUUGAAAAACAACAUGAGGCAGGGCACCUGGUGGCUCAGUAGGUUAAGCAUCCAACUGUUGGUUUCUGCUCACAUCAUGAUCUCAUGGUUUGUGAGUUCGAGCCCCACAUCGGUCUCUGCACUAUUAGUGCAGACUGGGAUUCUGGGGAUUCUUUCUCUCUCCUUCUCUAUCUCUCUGUCCCUCCCUGCUGUGCGUGCUCUCUCUCUCUCUCUCUCUGUCUCUCUCUCUCUCUCUUCUCAAAUAAAUAAACUUAAAAAAAUAGAAUUAAAAAAAGCCAUGAGGCAUUCACUUAUGACCAGAAUUGACGUGAUGUUUGAUUCUGGAUUUAGAGCGUUAUGUCACAUCACUGAAUUAUAGAGAAUCUGUUUCCCAUUGAAAUAUGUAGCCACAAACUUUAACUGAAUAAAGAUUGAAUCAGAUAAAAAGCAUGGCAAAUGUUUCUAAAAUACAAAGUUUACAUAUAUUUUUAGGACUGUCUACUUUAGAACCCAUACUAUAAAAUAUGGAAAUUCUUUUAAAAUCUGGUAAUGCUGCAUGUUUCUGGAAAACAUAACUCUAAAUGGAUCUAAUUUAAGUUUUAAGUA